AACUGAAGAGUUUGAUCCUGGCUCAGAUUGAACGCUAGCGGGAUGCUUUACACAUGCAAGUCGAACGGCAGCACGAGAGAGCUUGCUCUCUUGGUGGCGAGUGGCGGACGGGUGAGUAAUAUAUCGGAACGUGCCCAGUAGCGGGGGAUAACUACUCGAAAGAGUGGCUAAUACCGCAUACGCCCUACGGGGGAAAGGGGGGGAUCGCAAGACCUCUCACUAUUGGAGCGGCCGAUAUCGGAUUAGCUAGUUGGUGGGGUAAAGGCUCACCAAGGCAACGAUCCGUAGCUGGUUUGAGAGGACGACCAGCCACACUGGGACUGAGACACGGCCCAGACUCCUACGGGAGGCAGCAGUGGGGAAUUUUGGACAAUGGGGGAAACCCUGAUCCAGCCAUCCCGCGUGUAUGAUGAAGGCCUUCGGGUUGUAAAGUACUUUUGGCAGAGAAGAAAAGGCAUCCCCUAAUACGGGAUGCUGCUGACGGUAUCUGCAGAAUAAGCACCGGCUAACUACGUGCCAGCAGCCGCGGUAAUACGUAGGGUGCAAGCGUUAAUCGGAAUUACUGGGCGUAAAGCGUGUGUAGGCGGUUCGGAAAGAAAGAUGUGAAAUCCCAGGGCUCAACCUUGGAACUGCAUUUUUAACUGCCGAGCUAGAGUAUGUCAGAGGGGGGUAGAAUUCCACGUGUAGCAGUGAAAUGCGUAGAUAUGUGGAGGAAUACCGAUGGCGAAGGCAGCCCCCUGGGAUAAUACUGACGCUCAGACACGAAAGCGUGGGGAGCAAACAGGAUUAGAUACCCUGGUAGUCCACGCCCUAAACGAUGUCAACUAGCUGUUGGGGCCGUUAGGCCUUAGUAGCGCAGCUAACGCGUGAAGUUGACCGCCUGGGGAGUACGGUCGCAAGAUUAAAACUCAAAGGAAUUGACGGGGACCCGCACAAGCGGUGGAUGAUGUGGAUUAAUUCGAUGCAACGCGAAAAACCUUACCUACCCUUGACAUGUCUGGAAUGCCGAAGAGAUUUGGCAGUGCUCGCAAGAGAACCGGAACACAGGUGCUGCAUGGCUGUCGUCAGCUCGUGUCGUGAGAUGUUGGGUUAAGUCCCGCAACGAGCGCAACCCUUGUCAUUAGUUGCUACGCAAGAGCACUCUAAUGAGACUGCCGGUGACAAACCGGAGGAAGGUGGGGAUGACGUCAAGUCCUCAUGGCCCUUAUGGGUAGGGCUUCACACGUCAUACAAUGGUCGGGACAGAGGGUCGCCAACCCGCGAGGGGGAGCCAAUCUCAGAAACCCGAUCGUAGUCCGGAUCGCAGUCUGCAACUCGACUGCGUGAAGUCGGAAUCGCUAGUAAUCGCGGAUCAGAAUGUCGCGGUGAAUACGUUCCCGGGUCUUGUACACACCGCCCGUCACACCAUGGGAGUGGGUUUCACCAGAAGUAGGUAGCCUAACCGCAAGGAGGGCGCUUACCACGGUGGGAUUCAUGACUGGGGUGAAGUCGUAACAAGGUAGCCGUAUCGGAAGGUGCGGCUGGAUCACCUCCUUUU
rnacentral:rRNA from 1 species